rnacentral:rRNA from 1 species
UACGUAGGGUGCAAGCGUUGUCCGGAAUUAUUGGGCGUAAAGAGCUCGUAGGCGGUUUGUCGCGUCUGCUGUGAAAACCCGAGGCUCAACCUCGGGCCUGCAGUGGGUACGGGCAGACUAGAGUGGCGGUAGGGGAUGAUUGGAAUUCCUGGUGUAGCGGUGGAAUGCGCAGAUAGUCAGGAGGAACACCAAUGGCGAAGGCGAUCUCUGGGCCGUAACUGACGCUGAGGAGCGAAAGCAUGGGGAGCGAACAGG